CUUUCUCUGCUGCCUGGGGCGGCGGCGUUGGGGGCUGCAGAGCCCGGGAACUUCCCACCCGGAGGAAAGGCAGCCUCGUCCCCGCUCUUCUCAGCGCCUCCGCACUGCUCCUCACCACCGUGGAUCGGGGUCUUCAGGCUACACCCCACACCUUGGGGUUCCAGGACAUCGGACAAGGCGCCCAGGACCAUCUGGCUCUCACAGCCUCUUGUGCAGGUAGAGCGGCUCUCAGCGCCAGGGAGGUUGACGCUGAGACAUGGGGCGGUCAGGCCACCCUGCAGAGGGCCUCACGGAGCUCUUGGGAGGAGAAGGGGCAGCCCGCACACCUGGAGAAGAGUGUCGCAGAGUGACAGGUGUGUCCUGGCCGUGCCCUUGCCCAGCCUCCUAGCAACCCGGCUGCAGGGCCUCAGCCCUGCUUGGCUACUAGCUCUGUCUCCCCCGCCCCCUCCACUGGCCUCCUGAUGCUCUGGGAGAUGCCAGGUGCUGUCCUGCCUCUGAGCCUCCACUCAUGCUGUUCCCUCUGCCCUCCUCCCUCCCCCGAUGGAUGGCUCUCCUCUGCCUUCACCUGCACCUGGGUCAAGCCUGCCCCACCCCCACUGGGGGAGCUGAGCCCUCCCUGCGCGCGCACUCCUGUGCCCUCUCCUUCCUCGUGGCCACAGCCUCAGCCUGGGCAUGUUUCACCACUGGUUUUUGAGUCGGCUGCCCAGGCCCUGCUUCUCCCCUGCUGGCCAGGCUGGGAUCCCCCGCAGGGACUAACCUGCGCCCAGCAUCCCGGAAGAGCCCAAUACACCUUUGUGAAACGAGUACCUGCGCGCAGUGUGGACGGAUUGAGAACUUGUUUCAGGCGAACUUCAAGAUAUUUCAUCCCACCCUUUGGCAUGCUGGCAGGCAGCCGUGAGCGAGUGUGGCUCAGUGAACGGGUGGACGCCCUGCAGGUGGGGGUGGCUGUGGGCUCGGCGGUCUGGGCUUAGAGGUGGCCUUAACAGCAAGUCUCUGUCCCUCUUCAUGUGACACGCCCUGGUGGGGCACCCUCCCUGCAACUGAUGGAGGGACUGUGGAGUGGUUGGCAGCCUGGGAGCCAGGCCAGGUGGGGGACGACCGGCCAGCAGACUGACACCCCAAAUCACUUUGCUUUUCUGAGUCUCAGUUUCCUGGACUGAGAGGAAGCCAUGCAAUAGCAGGAGUGCCGCAGGUGAGAACAAAAAGUGAAAACAAGAGGAAGGACCCACUCCCCACUGGGGACCCAGGGCAGCCCCCGCAUGUCCCACCUGGGCUGCAGACCCAUCACAGGUUUUGCCUUGAACAUCCCGGUGGUUAAACCUGAUUGGCUGUGAUUCCUGAUGUCCGGAAGACAAAGUGACUGUCCAGCUGCCCGAAAUGUGCGGCUGUGGGUGUGGUCAUGCUUGUCCGCUUCUGAGGCAAGAGACCCGGGGUCUCUGAAUCCAGGAAUCACCGUGGCACAGACACCCCAGGGCUGUGUGCAAAUUAAGUGCUCAUGAAGCUCGUGGCUGCCGGCGUGGAGUUGCUCAGAGCAGAAAGGGACCCUUGCCCGGUGUGGCCGCGGGCUCAGGGACAGCCAGUAAAGCUGCAAGGGCAGCCGUGUGUUCCCCAGGACUGGGUCGCCACAGCCCCGGCUGUCUUGUGGUGAGAGCGCCCACCUGAACUGCUUUAGUGCCCCACCCAAGCCCUGGUCCAUGCCAGGCUCCCAGAGGGGUCUGGGCGCGCAGUGAGUUAGGCGUGCUGUCUGCCCACCAGGGGACCCCCGGCUCGGCCAGGGCCCUGGAAGAGGUGUGUGUGCUUGUGGGAAAGGCCCCUAGUCUUCAGUGAGACCUUCUGGAGCUGGUGGGAGACGUGAAGGCUCAGGGAAAGCAGGGUCUGUGCGGCUCUGUGCGUCACAGAAGCCUCUGUGGGUGUCCCUCUACCAUGUCCAAGUGGUGUGAUCUCGGGCAAGUUACCUGAACUCUCUGUGCCUCCAUCUCAUUAUCUGUGAAGUGGGCAGAUCAUUCAACCCCACCUUUUAAUGAUGUAGGAAGUUUAAUUACCCCCAUUUUAUAGAUGAGAAAACUGAGACUCAGAGAGGUGAUUUGCCUAAGGACACAGAGCUAAUGUCUGACUCCAAAGCUUGUUAACAGGAGAUGUUCAAUCAGGGUACUCUGCGGG